UCUUAUCGUUCUGAAAAAGCAGCCAAUGUUUUCCGUAUAGUUCGUAUAAGUACUGAAAUGAAUUGACCAAUCACUAAAAAUGAUUUAAAAAAAGAAAGAUAUCGAAAUAGAGUGCGUAUGCGCAGAUCAGUUAUUUUAGUUUCGCGCGUUCGGUUGAAAAUAUGACGCUAUUAUAUUCGAUAUUAUAAUUCAAUCGUGUAAUUCAAUUGCGUAAUUCAAUUCCGUGAAUAUUCGCAAUUGUCGAGUGUUUUUCGCGAAGACAUUAAUCAGUUUAAGCAUUUUUCGUCGAAUUUAAGUUUGAGAGAAGUGAUAUUUUAUAUAUUGUUAAGGCUAUGUAGUCAUCCGUUUUGCCAGAAUGAUUCAGUAGCGAGACAAGAGGAAGAAGGAGAGAUGGCUGGUCAUUGAUCGCGUGAUCAUGUUACCGAAAAUUGAAUGGCGAUGAAGCGUGACAGCAUUCGCGUGGGAAACAACUUUCGUUGGUCGUAAAAUCGCGAGAUGUUCUCAAUUAAAAAGUACGAUCCAUUGAGAUUUACCUGCGCCGAUGUAACAGGUUCCCAACAAUUGCCUCUUUGCUCGACCAUCAUCUGCAUCGGCUUGCCGGUCUCCAGGCUUUGAAAUUUUUGUUCUUGAGGCGGAGUUUCGUAGCAAUAGGCUGGCGGAUGAUACUCCACGGAACUGUCCUCGUGCAGCAUCGUUCCCGGAGAGGCGGUGUGAUUUAUCGCGUGCUGUGGCUCGUACCUAUCAAAAUUAUAUCGAUUAUAAUGCGAUUAUUCGAGCCACGUGAUUAACAUAUAACGAGUCGCAUUCGCAAGAAAAAUGCUGCUGUACAUUCUUCUCAUAUACGUUACUACUAUAGCUAUUUCGAUUAUUUAUCUCGUAUCGUUUAUUCUCCAGCUGUAUUGAUAUCGUGUAAAGUACACAUGCGUUGUAACGGACUAUCGAAAUCGUUUUUACGGUUUAGUCAUUUCAAUAGUCGUUGUGCUAACAACGCUAGUGUUACGAUUUCAAAACGAUUGGGAAUUAUCUUAAUGUCAUUUCACGCUCGAAGCAAGCAAAAGCAGAUCGUUGGCGAUGAUCUCGACACUUGUCUAACGUUCAUAAUUAUAUAUAAUCAUAAUUAUACACAUUGAUUAUAUCUUACAAAUUAAGUGCGAUAGAACAACCGUAUUAAACGUUUUGUCAUGCUGUUUGAUUACGAUAAAGUCGUUGCUGGACUAUCGACAGAAUAUAUCUCGAAACUAGGCAGCUACACGAGAGCUGGACGAAGAUGACGAGGAAAGUCACUUACUUACCAAACUUGUUCAAAUGAAAUUUCCUUCGAUAUCUGUCGAAAUAAAAAACAUUGUAGGAAACUUCAACUUUGACU